UCAGUUUGGUUUGCUUGCAAACCAAAGCUGGCGACCGGCGCACGGGUGAGUAACACGUAUCCAACCUGCCUCAUACUCGGGGAUAGCCUUUCGAAAGAAAGAUUAAUAUCCGAUAGCAUAUAUUUCCCGCAUGGGUUUUAUAUUAAAGAAAUUCGGUAUGAGAUGGGGAUGCGUUCCAUUAGUUUGUUGGCGGGGUAACGGCCCACCAAGACUACGAUGGAUAGGGGUUCUGAGAGGAAGGUCCCCCACAUUGGAACUGAGACACGGUCCAAACUCCUACGGGAGGCAGCAGUGAGGAAUAUUGGUCAAUGGACGCGAGUCUGAACCAGCCAAGUAGCGUGAAGGAUGACUGCCCUAUGGGUUGUAAACUUCUUUUAUAUGGGAAUAAAGUGGUCCACGUGUGGAUUUUUGUAUGUACCAUAUGAAUAAGGAUCGGCUAACUCCGUGCCAGCAGCCGCGGUAAUACGGAGGAUCCGAGCGUUAUCCGGAUUUAUUGGGUUUAAAGGGAGCGUAGGCGGAUUGUUAAGUCAGUUGUGAAAGUUUGCGGCUCAACCGUAAAAUUGCAGUUGAUACUGGCAGUCUUGAGUGCAGUAGAGGUGGGCGGAAUUCGUGGUGUAGCGGUGAAAUGCUUAGAUAUCACGAAGAACUCCGAUUGCGAAGGCAGCUCA
rnacentral:rRNA from 1 species